rnacentral:rRNA from 1 species
UCUUACCGGGACCGACAGCAAUAUGAAGGCCAGGCUGAAGACUUUGCCGGAUUAGCUGAGAGGUGGUGCAUGGCCGUCGUCAGUUCGUACUGUGAAGCAUCCUGUUAGAGUCGAGGCAACGGGCGAGACCCACGCCCACAGUUGCCAGCGUACUCUCUGGAGUGACGGGUACACUGUGGGGACCGCCGCUGCUAAAGCGGAGGAAGGAAUGGGCAACGGUAGGUCAGUAUGCCCCGAAUAUCCCGGGCUACACGCGAGCUACAAUGGUUGGUACAAUGGGUAUCUACCCCGAAAGGGGACGGGAAUCUCCUAAAACCAAUCUUAGUUCGGAUUGAGGGCUGCAACUCGCCCUCAUGAAGCUGGAAUCCGUAGUAAUCGCGUUUCAACAGAACGCGGUGAAUACGUCCCUGCUCCUU